CAGAAGGGACUGCCUUCCCCUCAGUGCUCGCCCCUCCCUAGUGAUCACUCAGUGCCCCUGAGCUCAUUCUUUUCAGUAAAUUCUCUCUCUGCGUGGUGAGAAAACAGGCCUGGAGAGGCUCUGCGACCCGCUUAGGACCACAGAACUCGAGAAUUACGUGUACCAGUUACGGCAGGAAUGCUACGCGUUUAAUGGGACACAGCGCUUCCUGGAGAGAUACAUCUACAACCGGGAGGAGUUCGUGCGCUUCGACAGCGACGUGGGGGAGUUCCGGGCGGUGACGGAGCUGGGGCGGCCUGAUGAGGACUACUGGAACAGCCAGAAGGACCUCCUGGAGGAGAAGCGGGCAGUGCCGGACAGGGUAUGCAGACACAACUACGAGCUGGACGAGGCCGUGACCCUGCAGCGCCGAGUCCAGCCU
rnacentral:misc_RNA from 1 species